AUUAUUACUUUAUAAAUCCCUGAAUGUCUACUGCUCCUCUCCUGUUAACUUUAAAAGGAAAUGUCAGUUAUUUUACCAGCAAAAAUGGGUUAAUUUGGGAAUAGCAGAGACUAGCAACAGUUUGAGACAAGCAAGCUUGCUUAAAACCAUAGGCAUGUCUGGAGAACAACGCAGAAGAUUGCUCUUUAAUAGAGGAGAAAGCUGAGUUGGGAGGGCUGUUCUAAGCAAAAAAGCGCAUUGGAGGAAACUGGAAGUUCCAUGUAUCAUGGCUUCUCAUUGGCUGAGUUGUGACAGCUGGGCUGUUGGGGGGAGGCACAAGAUGGAAAUCUUCCUUCCUCCUGCUGGACUGUGAAGUAGCUAAAACAACUGGACUUGCAGGGUGUCUGUCUCUUCCUGUGAAGUCAGUAACUGAGGAGUGGUGGGACGCAAGAGCUUCCCCUACUGGCCUGCUGAUGCCAUGUCGGAAUAUACUCCCAAAAGCGGAAUUGCUGGGCUAUAGAAGAGUCUGAGAUGUUCUUUAGGAGAUCUUCCACCUGGGGCAAGUUUCCUUCUGCCAGAGGCAGAUCCUUCAGUGUGUGUCUGCUGGGAGCAAACGAGUUUUUGUCUAAAAAUGUCUAUUUCAACUCCACUCUGCAAAGAUGUCCUUAGUGGUUUCAGCAGUUUCACUGCAUGGGUUUAGGCGUGGAAAUUCUCUAUUUGCUGCUCCCUCUCUCUCUCCCCCUGAGUCCUUCCUAGAAGGGGCUGGCCCCCUCUCUGGAACGUGAUGUGCCCACGCACGCCUGGAGAACCUUCCCAAGGGUCUGCGG